rnacentral:rRNA from 1 species
AACGAACGCUGGCGGCAGGCCUAACACAUGGAAGUCGAACGGGUCCUUCGGGACUAGUGGCGGACGAGUGGGUAACGCGUGGGAACGUGCCCUUUGGUUCGGAAUAGCCCUGGGAAACUGGGAGUAAUACCGGAUGAGCCCUACGGGGGAAAGAUUUAUCGCCAAAGGAUCGGCCCGCGUUGGAUUAGGUAGUUGGUGGGGUAAUGGCCUACCAAGCCGACGAUCCAUAGCUGGUUUGAGAGGAUGAUCAGCCACACUGGGACUGAGACACGGCCCAGACUCCUACGGGAGGCAGCAGUGGGGAAUCUUAGACAAUGGGAGAAACCCCGAUCUAGCCAUGCCGCGUGAUCAAUGAAGGCCUUAGGGUUGUAAAGAUCUUUCAGUGGGGAAGAUAAUGACGGUACCCACAGAAGAAGCCCCGGCUAACUCCGUGCCAGCCGCCGCGGUAA